UGAAAAACGACUACCUUACCUUCCAGGUGCGAGAAAUUUCCAUGGGAUUGCAUCCAAGCCAUCACAUAACAUCCAUACUUUGAGAAACUAAAAGUUUUAGCCAAUCAUCCUCUGAGGAAAAGCCCUUAGAGGCUGUUUGGCUACUAAGAAAAUAGAAAUGGAGAAGAACAGGAGAAAAGAGAAAAACAAAGCUUUAUAUAUUUCUAAGUUAAUGUACAGAGGAUCGAUCACCAAUCAUCCCAUUCUCCCCUGUUGGAGGUGUUGUGCACCUCUAUAUAUAGCAAAAUUACAAGAUAAAGCUUUAUGUCGGCUGAAUACAAGGUUACAAAAGGAAUUUACAUGAGAAAAUAUCAAGCUAAAAAUAUUUGGGAAGUCGGUGGUGCGUGCGUGGAGAAACAGAGGAUUCAAAGGAAUUUCGCAAUGUGAAUUUCACAUUGCGAAAUUUUCGCAAUGUGAAUUACUCAUGAUGCGAAGUGCCAUAUUUUCGCAUCAUGAGUUAAUUCACCUUGCGAAAUUUUCGCAAUGUGAAAUUCACAUUGCGAAAUGGCAAAAUUUCGCACCAUGAAGAAAAUCUCAUUGCGAAAUUUUCGCAAUGUGAAAUUCACCUUGCGAAAUUGGUCAUUUGGCAUGAUGCAGUUGCCUUCCGAAGGCCAUAUCUUCCUCAUUUCAGCUCCAAAUCAUACACGGUUUGAAGCGUUGGAUUCUUGACUUCCUAAGCUUUCAAAUGGUAUAUAGCAUGUAGAAAAUGGACUUCGGGAAGUGCUCCAAAAGUGUGAAAGAAGACUGCAGCUGUUUUCUUCACUCUGUUUUCCUCUUCUCCAUUGCUUGUGCUCGUGUUUCCACUUGAAAUUCAAGCCUGUAAUCAUCCAAAAUCCUUGCUUAACUCACCCAAAUAGCUCCUCCAUCAAUUGGCAUGCUUGAAUUGGUUCAUAAGCUGAUAAAAACAUGUAAACUUGCCACAAAAAUGGUUAAAACCAAUUACUAAGGACCUUAAUGAAUUAAUUGGGUUAAAUGAAUAUGAUUACUACUCAAAGGUGCUUAAAACCAUUAUUAUUAGGUCUACAAAAUAGCACUUUUUGGUAGUAAUCAACGACCUCACCUAGGAGAUCUCCAUGCUGCAACACGGCUCUGGAAAAGGACCCACUUUCCAUGAGCUGCAACUUCAAAGAAGUCAUACAUAGCCCGGAUUCUUAUAUAAAUCUCCGACAACAUGCAGCAUAUAAAGCAUCAAAUUAGAAGGAUUAAAAGUGGUCUAACAGCAACCCCUCUUACACUAUGGAAGGUAAGUUCUCUUUUUAAAUUCUAGGUGAUGCAGUUUUUAUUUUGAAAUUUGUCUUGAUUUAUCUCAAUUUGUUUUAGUUAGUUUAUAAUUUUUUUCAUUAUAGCGCACUGUAAUUCUACAUCUAUAAAUUGAAAUCUGACAACUUAAAAGCCCUUUUUAAUUUUUCUAACUAUUCUAUGACAUUUUAGACUCCUUGAACUUGAUUUUUGAAUCUUUCUUGGGUCAAAUAUGGUUUUCCAAUUAGGAGAUUUAAAUCAAUUUUUCAGAAGGUUCAAUUUUCACUCUGUUUUUGACAUUCAGUCUUGUUUUACAAAAUUAAAUUACUAAACGGUCUCUUUAAUUUAUUUUAACAUUUUAUUUUAAUCUAGACUCCUUAAAUUUAAUUUUUGAUACAUAAAAUAUCAAUAAAUAAUUUCUGAAAUGAGAGAUAUAAUUUUUUCUUCUUGCACACACUGCACAAGUGCUUUUCUGAAUUUGAGAGAUGUUUAUUUAUUUUUAAAUAUGUUGUGAAUGUGAUAUUUCUCUGAGACUAUUUUUCAUAUAUAAUAGAAAUAUUAAUAUAGUUGUGUGAUUUUUUUUAUGAUUUUAAGACAUUUCUAAGUUAAUUAUAAAAAUCAAUUUUUGAAUACCUUAAAAGAUGCUCUGUUCUGGACCUAUUAUCAUCGUUAUGUAAUCUGGUACUAAAUGAGGGCUGGUUAAUUAAUUUGGUCACUUAGAUGAUAAACUAGACAUAUAGGAGAUGCUCUCUAAAAAUAUUCUUGAUAAAACUUAACUUCUAGGUAUUUGUUUUAGAUUUAUUUUUUACAGUCUUCUAUUCUAAUCAUUUGCUAACUUUUUUCUGUGAGGUAACCCCUUUGUGAAUAAAUUUGUUAUUGAUUGGAAUAUAAUCAAAUAAUUUGGCCUAUUGGAUGUUUAUCUAGACAUGUUAAAGAUGUUACCUAAUUUUUAUUUUGGUGAGAUAACAUUUCUUGAUAUUUAUUUGGAGUUUAUUUUGUGAACCGAUUUUCUACCCUUUUAAUAAUAUUUCUUUGGCUUUUGGUAUUUUAGUCACUUUUGAUCAUACUUGUGAACUUUCCUUGACUUUAGACAUUCUAAGUGUAUAUAUGUAGGUUUAGUUUAUUUAUUUAUUUAUUAUUAUUUAAUCUUAUCAUUAUUAUUGGUGAAUUAACCUCAUUUUUAUAGAAUCACUGACGCUUGCUACACAGGUACGCUCUCUAUCUUCCCAUUCUAAGUGUAUAUAUAUAGGUUUAGUUUUAUUUAUUUAUUAUUAUUUAAUCUUAUCAUUAUUAUUGGUGAAUUAACCUCAUUUUUAUAGAAUCACUAGUGCUUGCUACACAGGUACGCUCUCUAUCUUCUCAUUUUAAAGUUCCAUGAAUAUGUUUGUCAUUAAGAACUCACUACUACAAAAAAUUAAAUUAAUAACACUUUAUUUCUUGAAGCUUGUAAAAAAUAUCAUUAUUUAUCUCUAAAAUUAAUAAUUAUUGAUGCUCACACAUUCUUGGCGCUUUACAAGGAGAAGCAAUGGCGUUUUUAAAUAAUGGCUCUUUUGUAUGGAUGUUGUAUUGAAGAAGAUAGACGGAUUCUGGUUUAUGAAUGUAUAAAAAAUAAGAGCCUUGAUCAAGCUCUUUUUGGUGAGAAUGCUUAAAAUAUUUUGCAUCUUGCACUUUAUGUUUUUAUUUUUUAUUUUAUUUUAUUUACCACACCUAUACUGUGUUCUGAUAAAGAAUUCAAAUUAUAUUUCCAUUAACUUUAAAAAUUUGAUGUUUCUCUCUAUUUCUUAAUUUGGGGGUUGCAACAAUUAUUUGGCUUGUUUUAAUGAUGUAGGAGAUGAAAGGACCUUAAAAGAUUCAAAAUACUAACUUAAACUGUACCAACAGUAAUUUUGGCUUGGGAAUUUGACAGUGUCAAUGAUUGAUUUUCCAUGUUUUCUUUCUAACUAUCUAGAAUUUUAAUUUUAGUUGAAUGUUAAUAGAAAUAUUAGACACUAUCACAUCUUAUCUCUCUUCUUCAUGUUUUCAUUUAUUAAUUAUAAUUUAUAAUUUUUCUUUUUUUAAUAUAUUUAUCUAUCUAUUUAUAGAUCAUUCUUCUCUUUCCAACUUUGAAGAGAGAGAGAGAGAAAUAGUAAAGGAUAGCAAGGGAUAGAGUGUUCUGCUCCACCAUCUAAGUAUGUGAUGAAAAGUUGCAAAGGAAAUUUGUUUGCUAAAAGAAGAGAAAUCAUUGUGUUAAAGAAGACGAAGUCAAAAACCAUGAAGAUUACAUCAGUGAACUCAUUAGGAGGUUGAACUAUGCUUUUAAAGAUUAUGGUUUAUUUUAGUAGUCUUGGUACCAAUGUUUGUUCUUAUGUUAGAAUUAGAAAUUCUUAUUGAAAUAUUUUGAUAUAAUUAACAAGUUUAUGUGUAAUUAAUAUAUAUAGGUGGUUACAUUAAUUGUUUAAACUAGGUUCAUGUAUAUCAAUAUUUGGAUAUAUUUUAAUUAAUAAAAUUCGAUUUUAUUUUA